rfam:Schistosoma mattheei strain Denwood, Zambia genome assembly, scaffold: SMTD_contig0000648
ACACUGCUGAGGAGUCCCGUGAUAGGACGAAACGACCGUCCAGUGC